rnacentral:rRNA from 1 species
UGGGGGAUAUUGCACAAUGGGCGAAAGCCUGAUGCAGCGACGCCGCGUGGGGGAUGAAGGCCUUCGGGUUGUAAACUUCUUUUGCUCUGAACAAGGCAUGCUAAUGGGUGUGUUGAGUGUAGGGGUUGAUUAGCGCCGGCUAACUACGUGCCAGCAGCCGCGGUAAUACGUAGGGCGCGAGCGUUGUCCGGAAUUAUUGGGCGUAAAGGGCUUGUAGGUGGCUGGUUGCGUCUGUCGUGAAAGCUCAUGGCUUAACUGUGGGUUUGCGGUGGGUACGGGCUGGCUUGAGUGCCGUAGGGGAGGCUGGAAUUCCUGGUGUAGCGGUGGAAUGCGCAGAUAUCAGGAGGAAUACCGGUGGCGAAGGCGGGUCUCUGGGCUGUUACUGACACUGAGGAGCGAAAGCAUGGGGAGCGAACAGG